rnacentral:lncRNA from 1 species
GGAAAGAAUUUCAGAGCCUCCCAUGUGGAGGCUCAGGAAACCCUGAGCUUGGGGUUUCACAUAGAAUAAGUAGUCGUCUAACAGUGAGGGUAGGAGAGAACGCACCCAUUUCACACAGCAGCACACUGAGGCACAGGGCUCAGUCCCUGGCCAAGGGCACAUGGUAGCAGGUGGUGGCACCUGGUCAAAGGCAAGUCUGGGCUGGGUGUGGUGGCUCACGCCUGUAAUCCCAUAACUUUGGGAGGCAGAGGAAGGCGGAUCACGAGGUCAGGAGUUCGAGACUAGCCUGGCCAAUAUGGUGAAACCCCGUCUCUACUAAAAAUACAAAAAUUAGCCAGGUGUAGCGGCGCGUGCCUGUAGUCCCAGCUACUUGGGAGGCUGAGGCAAAAGAAUCACUUGAACCCAGGAGGUGGAAGUUGCAGUGAGCCAACAUCGUGCCACUGCACUCCAGCCUGGGUGACAGAGCAAGACUCCAUCUCUAAAUAAAUAAAAUAAAUAAAUAGCAAGUCUGUGAGCCUCCGAAGACGGGUUUUAAUUCUUGCUCUGUGGGGUUAGCACCCCUCUUGUGGCUCCAUUUUCUUGUCCUUGGAGCCCAGUGCCCAUCUGUCACUUUGGUUGUGGACCUGGGCUUCUGCCUGGGGUGGCACUGGGGCCACAGACAAGCCUCCCUUCCUCCCGGCUGCCUCGCCCACACUGCUGAACCUACAGCAGGAUAACAGUCUCCAGGUCUGUG